CCCUUAGAUGUUCUGGGCUGCACGCGCGCUACACUGAAGCUAUCAACACGUUUUCCCUCCCUGAGAAGGGCGGGUAACCUUUUGAAUCAGCUUCGUGGUAGGGAUCGGGGCUUGCAAUUGUUCCCCGUGAACCAGGAAUUCCUAGUAGACGCGAGUCAUAAGCUCGCAUCGAUUAAGUCCCUGCCCUUUGUACACACCGCCCGUCGCUACUACCGAUUGAACGUAUUAGUGAGGCAUUUGGACCGACGCAUCUCAGUUUAACCGCUGGUUUGUGUUGGAAAGACUUCCAAACUUGAGCGUUUAGAGGAAGUAAAAGUCGUAACA
rnacentral:rRNA from 1 species